CCCUCAGUCAAUGACGUGUCAGCUGGUCUCGGUCCCUGUCAACCCUCGAGGCUCCUCACCACGCUUCGCGGAGCCCAGCUCGAGCGACGUGGCGCGGCCAAGGCAGACGGGGGACCCCCGGGAGAGACCCAUCACUCCUCAGGGCGGAGGCGUACCGCGGAGUGCCGUGGUCGAGGCUGUUCACCCGGGAUGGUGAGAGGAGAGCGGACCUAUAGUCUGGAGCCGAAAAACCAUGCCCACUGAUGCAUCACCAUGACUUCUCACAACAACUCUGCUCACAUGUCCUCUCCUCCUCCUCCUCCUCCCCCACCACCACCACCGCCCUCCUCCUUACCGCUGUCAAGCCUCCAUCUCAACUCCUCCUUGACCCUGGCCUCCACCGCCCCCUCAUACAUCUUUUUGACAUUGCCUGACAAUUGCAGUGGCGCGGUGUCCACGUCUUCCUCGCCGCCAUACAACUUCUACGCCGUGCUGCUAGUUCUGCUCAUCUUCUGCGUGGUGUUCGGCAACGUGCUGGUGUGCGUGGCUGUGUCGCGGGAAAGAGCCCUGCAGACAACCACCAACUACCUCAUCGUUUCCCUGGCUGUUUCCGACCUGCUGCUAGCCACCCUGGUCAUGCCUUGGGGGGUCUACCUGGAGGUGGUGGGCGAGUGGCGCUUCAGCCUGAUCCACUGCGACAUCCUGCUGACUUUGGACGUGAUGAUGUGCACGGCCAGCAUCCUCAACCUGUGUGCGAUCAGCAUCGACAGGUACACGGCAGUGGCCAUGCCGUUGUUGUAUAACACACGCUACAGCUCCAGAAGGAGGGUGGCACUGAUGAUCGCCGCCGUCUGGUUCCUCUCCUUCGCCAUUUCCUGCCCGCUGCUCUUUGGACUCAACAACACUGCAGACCGCGAAGGCACCACGUGCAGCUUCGCCGACCCAGCCUUCGUAGUGUACUCGUCGGUGGCGUCCUUCUACGUGCCCUUCAUCGUCACCCUGCUGGUGUACGUUCAGAUCUGCGUGGUCCUGCGCAGACGCGGCCGACGCACAGCGCCCCCGCGCAGGCACAGCGGGGCCGAGGCCUCGGGGCUACAGCGGCCCAGGAAGAAUAAAUGUACCCAGCCAGAGGACGUGAAACUGAGCACUUUGAUCCUAAGGCCGUCCACUGCGGCCCCCGGGCGCAAGCGAGUGACGCUGGUGAAGGAGGCGCUGGUGCACCCCUUGGAUGUGGAACCAGGUCGCUUCCUGCCACAGACCGAACAGAGUUUAGCCGCGCCGCCCGCCGCCCAAACGUCUUCGGCACACCCGGGCCGGGCGACCAUCUCGCUGUCUAUCUCGGUGGGGCCCGCCCCGGCCCACCCGUGCAUGGUGACGCGCUCGGCCCUAACGCCCCGCCCCCCCACGCUGGAAGACGGCAUGCGGGGCCGCGAGACCUGGCGGGAGCUCGACGGUGGCUGGACCGGCGUGACCAAGGACAGGGCCAGGGGGAAGAUGUCGCAGCAGAAGGAGAGGAAGGCCACGCAGAUGCUCGCCAUUGUGCUCGGCUCACUGCGCCAGCUGCUGCAUCUCGCCGUCGCUGUACAGCACCGUCACAUGGCUGGGCUACCUCAACAGCGCCGUCAACCCCAUCAUCUACACCACCUUCAACGUGGAGUUCCGCAAGGCCUUCAUCAAAAUCCUCCUCUGUUGACCGCGAACGGUCUCCGACUCCGACCUCGGACUCCGUCUCGUGAAAAUGAAGUGAUCGUCAAAGGACGAUACGAACACACACGGAUGAUCGAUUGAAGAACAUUUUGACAAGGACGCAAGCUGAGGAUUGAUUGAUUCUCAACGGUCACUUCAUUAGGAUGGAGUUUCUGAGCCGGCAUAUCGAGGAAGGGUGAGCAUCCCCCCCAUCCACAAGUGGGGGCCAAGUCAGCAAGCCCGUCCAGCAGGGGACUCAACCAGGGAGACGCCACCGACGGAGAUCCCGAGCCCGACCGAAGCAGGCGUAGGCACCGUACCACCGCACCCCCACGCCCCACCUCCCCCGGAGAGCAUGGGGGCCCCACCAACCAGCAGGAGCCAGCAGCCAUCCAAAAAACAGUCAUAGCCCCCCAAAGGGAGCCCAUGUCAAGCGCCCCAUCGUGAGCAAGGACGGUGAGGGCACCAAGAGAGGGGAGAAGAAGGCGGGAUCCACAGGGGGGGGGUGACCCCCACCCCUCCGUGGCCCGACAACCGGACACAGGAUGCAAAAUAUUAUAAUUCAAUCGUUAUCUCAGUACAGUCAAGAGUUUUUUUUUUAAUUUUAACGAUAUUUAAGAACAAUGUUUUGUUUUGUUUUUACUUUCAAAAUAGGAGUAUCGUAAUAUAGACAAAUGUUAGCAUGUGUGUUGUAAUAUGUAUGUUAUGUAUUGCACAAUAAUCUGUCAUAACAUUGUGGUUGUCAUUCACGCCGUUUCUAAUAUUUUGGUUACAAGUGUUACAAUUUAUACAUAUGUAAUUAAGUGCAUUAUCAUUUUAAUUUAACUUGAAAGGAAACGUGCUUUUUUCCUCCAGUUUGGUUGUUUAAUUUCAAAUUUGAUGUGUGUAAAGGCAGUCCAAAGACUCAACUACAGUAUUUGUAUACUGAAGUACAUUUUUACAUAAUGUGUACCGUUUCAGUACAUUUUGGCAGCUUUAUGGUCAGAAUUCAUGAGAUUUUUAUGAGAUAAAUGUAACCAUACACAUUUAAAGAGA